UACGGGGGGAGCAAGCGUUGUUCGGAUUUACUGGGCGUAAAGGGCGCGUAGGCGGUCGUGACAAGUCACUUGUGAAAUCUCCGGGCUUAACUCGGUAGCGGCCAAGUGAUACUGUCGGACUAGAGUGCGGAAGGGGCAACUGGAAUUCUCGGUGUAGCGGUGAAAUGCGUAGAUAUCGAGAGGAACACCUGCGGCGAAGGCGGGUUGCUGGGCCGACACUGACGCUGAGGCACGAAAGCGUGGGGAGCAAACAGG
rnacentral:rRNA from 1 species